rnacentral:lncRNA from 1 species
GAACAAGGGAGUUGCUAAACUGUUCUAAGGAGCAAAAUGGUGGUCAAUAAAUUGGUAACACUGUCCAUGAUGACUUCACUGUUUUAUGAAAAUGUGUCCAUUGUUCCUUGGAAGAUCAUCAAUAAUUGGAAGAACUCUAUCUCUCUCCUACAUAUUAUGCACUUUAGAGUACCUCAUAUUUGGUCCCCUUUGGUUCUCUAUGUAUAUUUGUUUUUGUGAUUAAUAUGAUAUUGUAGUUGUUGCAAGAGAUUGGUUUUUCCUUUGGUGUCAACCUAGUUGGGAUCAUUGGUUUGGACAAUGAUGUAUUUUCAUUCCUUCAUUUUUAUAAACAUAAAUCUUACUGGGCUAUGUAAAUUUGGCAUAACUAAACCAGCGAAACAAACUAUCAUUAACAUGUUGUGAACGGAUUGCCAUCAUUGGAUUCAGAUUUAACAGCAUUCAUUUCUUACCAGGAACAAUUAAUAUAUGAAGAAGACACAUUGACCACUAAAACUAUUUGAAAAAUAGCAGCUCAUUUCCAGUGUAAUAGAAGUGGAUACACAUGGGUAGGAACUUUGUCUACAUAUAUAUACAUACAUUACUGUGUUGUAUACGAUACACAUAGAUUCAUGUGCGACGCACAAGUGCGCGGACAAGUUUAUAUAUUCAAAUUUUCAGGACUGUUUUGAGAGAAAAAGGUGUGACACAAACCUAGGGUUGAUCAAAGGGGAUUCUUAGGGUUUCUAAAGCUAGGAGUAAAGUCAUUUUGGGUCACAUUCUAGGGUUAAGAAACAAUCAAAGCCACAUGAAGAGAUUUGGGGUAAGGGCAGAAAUUAAGGUUUAUCAUCAUAAGUUAAUUUCAUGUGAUCUGGAUAUCUCUUUGGAAAGAAACUCUUUGAUAUUAAAUUGGAGAAUUUUUCAGCGUCUGAAGCAGAGUUAUGAAAUGGAGUGGUUUAGAACACAAACACAAAGAGAAAGAGAGAGACACAAAACAAUUUAUACUAGUUCAUCUCACUAACCGAUAGUAGUCUAGUCCCCUUGCACUUUCAAGAGAUUUUCACUAUAAUCACUAAAUAUUACUGAUGUAGUAUCAAAAGUAAGUAUUUUUGUUAUCGUCUCCACAUGGACUAGUGCGAUAUUCUAAGCCGUUCAACAAUCAGUAUCGUUCUGAGCUAAGGAUUCGAUAUUUUUUUGUUUCAUGAACUAUAAAACUACAGACUUGUAAGAGAUAUGAGAGUUAACAAGGAAAUGAUUAUGUUGGGAUUAAACUUCAUCAACCUACAUAUACGUAUUCUAGGAUUAGUGUUGCGGAUUCUAAUUAUCAAUUGAUAUUAUCACAUAUUGCUCAACAACAUCAUUCGUGUCCAAUUGAUGUCGUGAUUUCUAUUGAGUCGUCUAAUCGUCGAUUUCCCAAACUAUUAAACUUUCCAAUAGUCGAUUGUAUCGUUGUAUAGUUGACUUUUCAAACUAUACAAUGAUACGAAAGCUUUAAGUUCCAAUAUUCAAAGUGAUUAUCAAACCUAAGUUCCAUGUCUAGAACCUAAGCAUUGAUAGAAGAUUAUUCUCAACUAGAUUCAAAAUGUAUUUUUCAAUAACAAUUUAAAUCCAUAGGAUAGAAAUGAAAAGCAAGAAUAACAUCAAUAUCUUAAGAUAAUUUAGAAUCACACAACAUCCAAAUCAAAGGGAAUACAUACUAAUAGAGUUAACUACAUUUAAUCCCAACAAAAAGAGUUUAGCUACUCAUUGUCAUGGUAACCUUACAAGGAGAAAAGAAGAGAUGGAAUGGAAGCAAGCCAUGAUGUCUCAAUGAUCUUGUGAAUCCCUUCAAUCCUUGUGCCUCUUGCUCAUUGAAGUUCUCUUUGUGUUUUCCCUAUUUUCUCUCUUCCUAAAGUGGCUUCUGCAUAUAAGUUAAACAAUGAAUGUCGGUCUCCUGCAUAUAAGUUAAGCACAUUGAGGUAUCCUCACAUUUAGGCUAGUUCUAAGUGGUUCACAAUUAAACACGUUAUUGCGAAGAACCAAAUGAAGUAAAAUUUGUGCAAAGUACUUGCUUCAGAUUCAAGUAAACACCUAGAAAAGCAAGAAACUUAUACCUUGGCUUUGUGCAAUUCAAACAAUAUGUAUCAUCACCAUGCACCUGAUGUGGAUUUGCUGGCCUAAGCUCUUAUUAGAAAGAUAUGAGAAAACUUAGUUUGAUCUAAAUUAAAACCAUAAGGUUGCAGGAGCUUGUGGUAUACCAUAGUGCAAAAGGGUUACCUAUGACAUAGUCUUUAAUCAAACAAUGCAAAAGAAGUAUGUACUGCCUAGAAAUCAAAAAGUGACUGACCUGCUGCAACUCGCCUCGCGAGAAUAUGCUCGCUAUGGCGAGCAAUUUGGUGGUCAAUGCAGUUCAAAGGCAUGAAACACUUGCCAUGGCGAGUAUGUGCUCGCCUAGCGAGUCAUGACAGUUUCAGAAAAUGAAUUUUGACUUCUGCUUUUACUUUUGUGGGUGCAAUGUGAUCUAUACCUCUAAAUUGCAAAAAUAAAGCAUGAAAAACUUAAACAAGGUUGGGUUGCCUCCCAACAAGCUCUUGUUUAAUGUCGUUAGCUCGACACCUUUUUUGUUAGGGUGGCCGAAAUGAAACGGAAAACACAUCAUCUUUUGGAAUCAUGCGCUUUGGGAGGAAUUCCAUGAACUUUAGGUACAACUGAUGCGGAGUCCAUAUCCUCCCUAACUUUGGUUUGUUGAACAAGGCACAUAUCUCAUCUAUGACCCGAUCAAUCUCCACCUUGUUCACUUUCUUCCCCUUUCCUUCCAUUGAUUCUUCCUUGCUUAGUAUCCGUUCCUUUUUCUCUGUCCCCUGCAUCACUUCUUCAUUUUCAACAGUUUCGACCUCUUCAGUAUAUGGCCGUUCUUGAGGAAAUUCUUCUUUAUGUGAUGUGUCUAUUUCUUGUGCAGUUUCAAAUUCACCACAUCCUUCCAUUGUUGUGCCUUCCUCAGUUUGAUCAACUCCUUCCUCAACAAUCUCACUGAAUUCCUCAUUCUCAGUUGAAACAUCUUCGUGCUUUUCAUGAAGGAAUCAAUUGCUGAUUUGAACAUCUAUGUCUGAAAGUUGCAACUGGAUUUUCUCCAUUCGGCAUGAUAAAUUUUUCAAUCUUUGGUUAGUAUCUUGCAUGUUUAUCAUGGAUUUCUCCAUGAACAGAUUCAAAAUAUUUUUCAUCUUUGAUAUUUGUUCAUCUUCAGAAAGAUGUUGUUGAUACUGUUGAUAUGAUUCAUACUCGAAUGGAGUGUAGAAGUUGUUAUAACUAUGAUUAGCCAUGAUUUCGUUUAUGUGACAAACCUGAAACGGAAACAACUAACAAGAAACUUUUCUUUGUAUACCAAAGAAGGGUUAGUGCAAACAACUAUAUGUGCUCCCCGAUUUUCGGAUAUCAAACCAUUGAUUGAUUUGAAUCGUCAAUCUUUGAACUCUCAAUUUUUAUUCGUGGGAAGGGAAAAAAUGAGUAAAAACCCUUAUCGAGACUUUGGAUUCGGGGGUUGGUUUCGAAUAGGGAAGGUGUUAAGCACCCUAAACGACUUCGGUACUCCGAAGGAACCGCUUACCUAGAUUAUCUUGUGCUAAAUUCAUUUGGCUUACUUGAAAAAUUAUUAUCUAAAAUCUAAGUGAAAGAAUGGAGGGAGAAGAAAUAUGUUUUUGGUUUUUUUUAUUUGAUUUGGAAGGACAAGUCCUCUACCUACGUACCCUUUUUUGGGAAAGGGAUCAAAACCGACGUAGUUCCACUCAAAAAUUUCUUUGGUGGGUUAGGUUGAUUUUAAGAUUUUUGAAAAUGGGUUUUAAGAAGAGAAAGAGGCCUCACGGCAUGAGAUAAAAGAAAUGAGUGAGGUUGAUUGAUUUUAAAUUUUGAAAAUGAUUGAAGUUGAAUUAAAAUUGAUUGAGAGUUUAAUUAAGAAAAUAAAGGAAAAAUGUUAUUAAGAAAAUGAUUUUGAAGUUUUGCAUAUUUGAUUUUUUGAGAAAAUGAUUUUUCUAAACUAACGGUGAAAACUAACGUAACGUCGUAGAAAAACGAGCGGAAAACGGUAAAUAAAUUGUGGUAGUGUCGGUGCAAGUGUCGGUGCUUGUGUUACCUACAUUAUUACAUCAAUUCUUAAAUACAACCCUAAGGCCUUUAUGCCAAAAUAAAAUGCAAGAAAUAAAACUUACAUCAAUUUCCUAUUUAUACACGCUAAGUCAAUGACAAAAUAAAAUGAUGAGAAAAUUAAAUGUGCAUGCUAUGAUUCAAAACAAAGAUUAAAUCGUUAGUGAGCAUAAGAAAAUAUUGAGAUGAAAUGAGCAAAAAUUAAAAUGAACAUGUGGAAACAAAUAAUAGACAAAAAAUUAAGAGAUGACAUGUAAAACUAGCAAGUAACAAAUAAAAAUAUCAUAUAUAAAGACACAAUAAGCAAGAAUUAAGAAACAAGGAAGGAAUGAGCCAAGAAAAAAAAAAAAGUAAAAUGGAUUUUAAGACUUGGAGGUUAAAAUGAUGGAAAAACAUUUUUUAGAAUUUUGAAGUGUUAAAAUAUCAAGAAAAUGGAGUAAAAGUAUAAAAAAAAUGAAAAGACAAAUAAAAACAAAGUUUGGCUCAGCAGGAUUAAUUCUGGACCGUUGGAUUAAUCCAGAGGUCCAGAUCUAAAUCCCAAGAUCUCAUCACAGCCAUUGGAUCAACGAUCCAAGGGUUAAAAAACAGAAAAACACUUAAAGGAAAGGAGUGCAUCAUCGGCCGUUAGAUCUACGAUCUAACGGCCUAGCAUUGAGCGCACAUGAUGAGGACGUAAGGUGCUAACGCACCAGAUAGAACAUAAUAGGAGCAGCAUAUAAAAGGAAGAAAACAAUGGAAGAAAACAUAACAAACUAAACCACACUUCUCUCUAAAAAAAUUGCUCACACUGCUCUCUAAAAAACAGAGUUGCAGCGCCGCCGCCUACUUCUUCUUCUCCGGCGAGAAAAGUUUUCCGGCGCGGUGGCCGGUGGUGGCACCACCACGCCGGAAUUUCAAACUCCUCUUUUCUAAAAAACUUUUAACAGUUUUGAAAUUCCUUUUUCGUUCUAGACUCAAAUCCGGAUUCACAAUUUCAAAAACAGUUCACAACAGACCUAGAUCUAACAAUGAAGAUUCGACAAAAACUACCUUCGGUUUCAAAACGGAGAAGACUAGAUCUACUACUUCAGGCUCGGAUCUACUUUCUUUUUGCUAAUUCCCUCCGAUCCGGUUCAGGCGCAUUCCUUUUGUGUUGGAGGAGAUUCGGUUUCCUUCUUCUUCUUCAUGUGACUCGGUUCACUACUUCUUUGAAACCGAUCCAGUUUAUAUGCAUGCCUGAGAAUUCCUUAGAAAACAAAUGAAGGUUUGAGUUCAAUGAGUUGUGUAUGUGUUUACGCUUGAGGCUUGGUGAAAGGAUACGAAAAUGAUUGUUAAAAGAAUGGUUCACAUGAUUUUCGAAUUUGAAAUAUUCAUGAAGUUCAUGAUUUUUUUUAUGGUUUUUUUGAGAGUUUGAUCUGAAAAUGUGGAGAGAGGAUAUGAAUUUAGUGUUUGUUACGGAUCUGUGGCAGUUUUGUGAUGUUUGGAUGAUGAUGAUUUAUGUGUUAGUGUGGAGUGAUUCGAGGUUGAUUCUCGAAAUUUUGCUGGAGAAUAUUGUUCAUGUUGUUCUUGACAUGUUCAUCUAUUUUUCAUUGAUUUUUGAUGAUUUGAUCCGAAAAAGUAGAAAGAGAGAAGGGAUUAGGGUUUGUGAACUUUUGUGGCUGCUGAUUGAUGUGUCAGUGUAAUAAUUUCUGUGCAGCCCCCUCUCUCCAAUGAUUGGACAGUGUACUUAUAGUGACAAAAUAGGGUUGGCUCUGGUACACAUCAAAGACCAAAAUACCCCUGUUGGAGACUUGGGGAUAAAGACUUAACAAAUAAAAAUAAUAAGAAACAAAAAACAGAAAAAUAAAAAAUGACAAAUAAAAUAAAAAUAAAAUAUUAAUUAAUAAUAAUAAAAAAAAAAAGUCCCUUCGAAAUCUGACAUGAGGUACUUCAAAGUAUCCUCCCUGCCGAAAUUUUGUCUGAAAUGAUUAAAAGGACGCGAUUUUUAAAAUAUGAUUAAACCUUUUAAAAUGACUUGAUUAUUAUGACUAACAAGACUAUAAAAUGCGCUCAAAAAGUUAUAAAAAUGCAGAUAAAAGUUUUUAAAUGAUUAAAGAAGAAAAACACGAGUUUUAAAUGGUAAAAAAAACAAAUAGAAGAGAAUGUGGACUAUUUUAAAAUAUGGACAAAAAAGAUUUUAAAUGGUCCAAAUUUGGGGUAUGACACUAUACAAAAGAGAAAAUUAUAUACAAAUUAUAUACAAAUACUCAAAACAAUACAAAUUGUCACAAUGCUUCAAAUAUCGAAACGCCAGUCCCCUGCAGCGGCGCCAUUUUGAUGUAGUAUCAAAAGUAAGUAUUUUUGUUAUCAUCUCCACAGGAAUUGGUGCGAUAUUCUAAGCCGUUCAACAAUCGGUAUCGUUCUAAGCUACAGAUUCGACAUUGUUUUGUUUCAUGAACCAUAAAACUACAGACUUGUAAGAGAUAUGAGAGUUAACAGGGAAAUGAUUAUGUUGGGAUUAAACUUCAUCAACCUAGAUAUACGUAUUCUAGGAUUAGUGUUGCGGAUUCUAAUUAUCAAUUGAUAUUAUCAAAUAUUGCUCAACAACAUCAUUCGUGUCCAAAUGAUGUCGUGAUUUCUAUUGAGUCGUCUAAUCGUCGAUUUCCCAAACUAUUAAACUUUCCAAUAGUCGAUUGUAUCGUUGUAUAGUUGAUUUUUCAAAUUAUACAAUGAUACGAAAGCUUUAAGUUCCAAUAUUCAAAGUGAUUAUCAAACCUAAGUUCCAUGUCUAGAACCUAAGCAUUGAUAGAAGAUUAUUCUCAACUAGAUUCAAAAUGUAUUUUCAAUAACAAUUUAAAUCCAUAGGAUAGAAAUGAAAAGCAAGAAUAACAUCAAUAUCUUAAGAUAAUUUAGAAUCACAAAACAUCCAAAUCAAAGGGAAUACAUACUAAUAGAGUUAACUACAUUUAAUCCCAACAAAAAGAGUUUAGCUACUCAUUGUCAUGGUAACCUUACAAGGAGAAAAGAAGAGAUGGAAUGGAAGCAAGCCAUUAUGUCUCAAUGAUCUUGUGAAUCCUUUCAAUCCUUGUGCCCUUUGCUCAUUGAAGUUCUCUCUGUGUUUCCCCUGUUUUCUCUCUUCCUAAAGUGGCUUAUGUUCUGAUUAUUCUGUCUGAAAUGAAGGAAAUGAGCUUUUAUACAUAUGCUGAAAAAGUGACAUUUCGCCUGGCGAAGUUUGGCUCGCCAUGGCGACUUGAGCUUACAUUGCUAGUGGGUUUCUGCCACAUCACUUUGAUGAGAUAAAACCGCUUUUUUUUCGUCUGGCAGAAUUUCUGCUCUAUAUAGCGAAGUACUUUUGUCCUGUUUUUCCAACUCUAUGGAACUGCUCGCCAUUUGGCUCGCCCUUGUCUCGCCUGGCAAAAUAUUUCGCCUGGCAGGAUUGCUACUUGCCAUGGCGAAGUAGCUUUUGCCGCUUUUGUUCUUUUUGGUCCUUGCUUGAUGUUUUGGCACUCAAUUCCGGCACAAAUGGGUAGAGUAAGAUGAAUAAAGCAUAACAGGUCAAUAAUCACUUUUCUCUCGACUUUUCCCUGAAUAACUUGUGAAACAAGUAACAAACGUGCCGUAAAUAAUCAUUUGAAAUACUAUUUUCUGGUACUUAUCAAUUACAAUUGCUCAAGCACACAAGCAAGAGACUUUAAAUGCUCGAUCGUACAAGAAAGAGACUUCCAAUGCUCAAACACACUAGUAAGAGACUUCUACAAUCGAACUUAAUCAAAUAAAAGAUUUUAUGUGAUUUACACUUGAUGUACAAUCAGAGGUGUAAGCAAUACAUAACAUAAUGAACUCUUAAAACUUAAGAAUUUCUAUGAUAUAAAGUUUCUAAGAAAUUCUAAGUACAAAUGCGCUUUUGAUUUUGACAGAGUAAGGACAAUUUCAAAAUAUGCAAAGUCUUGUUAAUUUCUUCAAGUCUUCAGCUCCUUAUACAGAGGGAAAUCCAAGAGAUGUUGGAGAGGUGCCAAUGCAUUACUUUGAGUCCUUGAGAAACUUGAUCAUAGAUGUUGGAAUUUUUCUUGAUUUGGAUAAUGUCGUUUAAAAUUUUUUGAAAAUCCUUGGCAACAAACAGAAUCAUCUAUUUCACUCCAAUUGUCCUUGAAGUUCUUUGUCUAUUUCUGCACGUGAUCAAAAGAGGACAAAAUAUACUAUCUGAGUCUGAUAGUGAUCUCUUCAGGUUCUCUUCAAAUUUCAAAUGCUCUUAUAUAAGUUCUUUUAGUACCAAACUCUAUUUAAUACAUAGAAUUUCAAUUUAUGGUCUUGCACACUUGAACAUAUAUUAGCAUAUCUAGUUCUUCUUUUAAUACCUUGUUAUCAUCAAAACUUCGAAAACAUUGUGCAAAACCCAUUUUGCUUUAACAAAGAUGGUGGAGCGCAUCAGCACUAUAGUAGUAAUGAGGUGGUAGAAAGCUAUUAUCCCUACUUGUACAUCAUUCUGAGAUGUUAUGCAUGCGCUACACCACGUAGCCUAACGAGGUGGUCACAUUGAUAGACUUUGACUUGAACCAUUUAUUAAGCCUUUGAUUCAUGUUCUUAACGAGCUUUAAUAUUGGGUGAUCCAAAUGAUAAUUGGACCGGGUCUUUUAACCUUGUACCGUUAUAAUAUAAUGAAUAUACAAGUUACAAGCACUUAUAUAAGUGACUUUAUAAAUAGACUAUUACUUUUUUCACCCUAUCGAUUUCCCGUGCCCCUUUUUUUUACGAAAAAUGUCCAUGAGAUUUUCAGAUUCUAUAAUCCGAAAUGAGUUUUCCCCUUAUUUUAGGGUGGAAAAAUGAGUUUUUCACCAAUUCGGAUUUUGUAAUCCAAACACCCUAAAAAAUAUGGCACGUUCCUUGCUUUUUUAGCACUAUAGAAUUCCAACACCCCUUUUGUACCAAGAAUUCAAGGGAAAAGUAGUUUGGAUUAAUCCAAACCGUAUCAACACAAAUACUCAACCUGUUUGACAUGUUGUAUCAUUUUUUACUCUGUUUUUUUGGUUGAGUUUAAAAUCGAAAUUCACAACCAUUGAAAUGAGAGAGAUUUUGAUUGUUGCUUAUUUAUAUAAGCAUAUAUAUUUCGAAUUCUAUAAUCCAAACACAUGAGUAUACAAUCUAAAACCCCAUGAGUAUUUUUAUAAAAAAUAAAUCAAUAGGACAUCUGAGAAUGUAAUUAAUAGGUUGUAUAUAAAUGAGUUGGAUACGUUCGACUCGAUUGUUACAAAAUUGGGCAUGACCCAAAAAUUAGUGGGUCAACCCAACCCAUAUUUCAAUACUAUCAUUUAAAAAAUGUUUGAAAAUUGCUUUUCUCCCUUCAAGAAUGUCCUAAUAAUACAUGGGAAAUUCUAAAAUGCCACCAGCGGUAGUUAACUGAUGUUACGUUUUACCCCAAAAACCAGUACAUGCCUACUUCCCUAUUCACUCAUCACCUUACCUAAAAAAAUCCCCCAUUAAUUUUUUUUUGUUGAAACAUUGAUUCCAAAUCUUUGUUGACGGAUUGCUAGCUCGUUUCUACAGACAUUUGACAUCAAAAAUAGGUAUUGCAACGUUAAACUCGUUUCCAUUUGAUUGAGUUUCCAGUUUUUUUUUCCUGACAUGCAGCUUAGCGGUAGUUAACUACCGCUCAGGUUGAAGAACCAGCUGCAGUUAACUAACGCCUAGGACUUAGAAAAAAAAUUCAAAAAAAAGUGCUACUCCCUAUUUUAUUUUUUAUUUUUUUGGUUUGUUUAUGUUCUUAAAUUAUGUAAGAUACAUGUUAAUUAAUUAUUUUAGCAAUUAUAUGUUGUUUAUUUAUAGAUAUGGUUGAGAAUGCGGGUGAUCGAAAACCUAGUGUUGUCGAGAUCAAACCGCCGAAACAUGAAGUUUCCGUUAAGGUUGCAGUUUCCGUUAAAGUGGAGGCUACAAGUGUCAAUGCCGGUGUGUGGAAACUUCGUGACAACGAAGUGGACACGACUCAUUUCUUUUCGAGCCGAGAGACAUGGAAAGAUAAAGAUGAAUUGAUCGGUUGGGUACGUCGACAAGCAAAUAAAGCUGGAUUUACGAUUACCAUUAAAAGAUCUUGUGCAGUUAGCAAUCAUAUAUUGGAGUUGGUUUGUGAAAGUAGUGGCGAGCAGAAAGUAUCGAAGAAAAAAGUGAAGCAUGAAGCAACGAGAUCAAGAAAAUAUGAGUGUUUGUUCAAGGUGCGUGGAUAUGUCGUCAGGGAAGACAAUGCUUGGAAAUUGGCUAUUCUUUAUGGUGUUCACAACCACGAGAUGGUGCCGUUUUUAGCAGGGCACCUUCUUGCGGGAAGAUUAAUGGAGGACGACAAGAAAAUUAUACAUGACUUGACCAAUAGUUCGGUGAAACCAAAAAAUAUUUUGACAAAUUUGAAGAAGAAAAGACAAGAGUCUAUGACAAAUAUCAAGUAAGUCUACAAUGAACGUCAUAAAUUCAAAAAGGCAAAAAGGGGUGACUUAACGGAGAUGCAAUUUCUAAUCUCAAAGACUGUUUUGAUAAUGGAUUCCACGUAUAAAACCAACUUGUACAAGAUGCCACUGUUUUUAAUAGUCGGAGUCACCUCAACCUAUUUGACAUAUUAGGUUGGUUUUGCAUUUAUAACGUUGGAGAAGGAGAAUAACUUUAAUUGGGUUUUACAAAUGUUGCUUAAACUUCUUAAACCAAAUAGUGAUAUGCCUAAGGUGGUAGUGACUGAUUGGGACACGACUUUGGUGAAUGUCUAGCAAAUGUUCUUCCGAAUAGUAAUGCAAUACUUUGUUAUUUCCAUGUCGGGAAAUAUGUUAGAGCAAAAAUCAUCACCGAUUGUAAGUGAGACAAAAGGUUGUCAAAGAGGAUGGGCAAAAGAAGCUUGUCGGCGAGGUGAAGCAUAUUGAGAUAGUUGGAAUUGCAAGAGUUAUAUGCAAGUAAUCUAAUGGAAUUGCAAGAUGCUUGUAAGAAUUAUCCAAAGUUUCUUCCUUAUGUUCAAACUACCAUUUUGGAUACUGUGAAGGACAAAAUAGUGAGAGCAUGGACAGACUUUCUGUUACAUCUUGGGUGCAGGACCACAAAUAGAGUUGAAAGAGCACAUGGUAGAGUGAAGGAAUAUGUGUCCACUUCCAAGGGUGAUUUGGGUACUUGUUGGGAAAAAAUAGAUGAGAUGUUGGUAAUCCAGCUUGGGAAGAUACAAUCAUCGUUUGGUAGGAGCAUUACGGUCUUGGAACAUAGAUACAAAGAUGUCAAUUUCUACUCUGGGUUGGGGGGUAACAUGUCUAGAUAAGCCAUGAACUAUAUUUUUGUGGAAGAAGAGCGUGCUAGCAAAACCUUGUGCAUGAACAAGAAAACUUGUUGUUGUGGUUAAAGGACGUCGUAUGGCCUACCUUAUGCAUGCUUCAUUGCUAUAAAAAUCCGUCACAAAAAGCCUAUUCGAUUGGAUGAGAUACACCCGCAUUGACAUAAGUUAUAUAUGGGUGAAGAAAAAAGUAAUGAAAAAUUGUUUUCGAUCGCGGAGGAGUAGAGUGGUAUUCAAGAACAUCUCAAAAGAGUUCCGUACCAAAUGAAACUAAAAAUCAAAGAGGGGUUGCCAACGUUUCCAGAGACCACAAUGUUGUCACCACCUACAAAAAAGAUACCAACCAAAAGAGCAAAGAAGAAAAAUAAAAUCUACACUGAAAUCGACACGGAAAAAAUCUCCAAUCAACAUGUCCGGGAAACUAAGGUUAGAAUUAAACCUUUAUACUCAGUUGACCAAUUAAAUCGACGUCAAGCGACUAGUAUAAUUUCAAUUUUAGAGAAAUUAAGUGGAAAUAAUACAACGUGAUUUGAUUAUAAUUGUUAAUGUGACUAAUAUUUUUCAAAUAGAGGGAGUUGCGUACAACGCGAGGAAUGGUAAUUUAUUUUAUAAAUGGUUAGUAUAUGUCGCAAUCAACAAAGUCAAAGACUACUCUGAAAAAAAAAAGUCAAAGACAAUUUCCUCAAAAAAAAAAACAACAAAGUCAAAGACAAUUAAAAUUUGAAAGAUUAUAUGGAAUCUGAAAAUCCAAACUAAUUAGAUGUAGACAUGACAAAGCGACCCGCUCCGUUUAGACCAGCCAAAACGAGACAUGACAAAGUGAGCAGCACGAAAUGGACGAGUCAAUUUAAGUGACUAAGUCAAAAGUUUCACCCACCCCGCAUUGGGCGGAUUGACGAGAUGGUAGGCCGGUCUAUCAAACAAAAAAAGAAUUUACUUUUAUUUCAUUUUUGGGUUAACAACGUUUUACCUUUGUAAUAUAGGUCAUUUUCAGUUUCCCUCCGUAAGCAAAAAUUUUAUAUUUCAUCCUUAUAAUUUGAAGAUUAUUUGGUUUUAGAUCCUCAAGACAGUUGACUAAACAUUUAGGCUUAUGUUACGCAUUGAGUCAACAUUUUUUGAUUAUGCGACACGUUGACUAUGUAAUUAUUAAUUUUUUAAAAUUUAUUUUAAAUCAAAAAUAAAAAUAAAUUUAAAAAACAAGAAAAUUUAUUUUCGAAAAUAAUAAAAUUAGAUAAAAAAAUUCUAUAACUUAAUUUUCAAAAUAAAAAAAAUUAGAAAAUAUAUUUCAAAAAUUAGAAAAACAAAUUCGAAAUUAAAAAAAAAAAGUUCAAUUUUUUUUUUCCGAAAUAAAAAAGUUUUUCUAACUUAUCAUCAUAUUUUUCAUGAAAAUAUAUCUUCAAGGUUUUUUAUAUUUUUAACAAUUUGAUUAUUGUAAAAAAUAGGCUAUGUUAUUUAUAAAAAUAAAAUUGGUAGCAAAUCAAUUCGUGGUAAAACAAAAUUUUAUGAUGUAAAAUUGGAUUAUAACAAGUUAUUUGGUCGCUUCACUUUAAAUUAUGUCUAACCCAUUGAUAAAAUAAAAAUAAAAAUUGUAAGUUGAUGAGUUGACGGACUGGCCCGUCCCAUCCUUGCCCCGCCCUACUUUUUCAACAGUCAAGCAGGACGAGCCAACUAGAAGCGGCGAAUUCAAAACUCCAACACAACCCGCCAAAAAUAGUAGGCUAAAUGGGCCGGUUUGGCAGGUUGGACCCGUUUUGCCUUCCGUGUGGCAAUUGCUUUAUUUCCAGUCCAUUCAAAAUCGGGAUGCUUAGUGAGUUAGCAGACUCAAAACGACAAUGAUCGAUGAGUCAGACUCAGAACAAUGAUGAUCUAUGAGUUAGACUGAGAACAAUUUUCUUUUUCUAAUUUUUUUCCAUUAGGUCAUGUAUUUUUUAUUUAAGGCUAAAAUAUGGUUUUAGUCCCUGCAAAUAUGCCUCGUUUUGGUUUUAGUCCCUGUAAAAAAAAAUUGUUUUUGGUCCCUGCAAAGUUUUUGUUUUUUAAAAUAGUCCCUCAGGUACUAUUUUAAAAAACAAAAAAAUUUGCAGGGACCUUUUUAAAAAAUAAAAUAUUUUGCUGGGACCAAAAACUACAAAAUCGGUUCAGUCAUCAUGUGCCACGUAUGCAAAUCAUCACAAAAAUGGGGUCAGGGACUAUUUUAAAAAACAAAAAAUUUUGCAGGGACCAAAAACAAUUGUUUUUUUACAGGGACUAAAACCAAAACGAGACAUAUUUGCAGGGAGUAAAACCAUAUUUUAGCCUUAAAUAAAUACACAAUAUUUUAGGUCCCAAUGUUUCUUAGUUUUGAGGCCCAUCCUCAAUACUUUCCCUUCUCCCUCCAAUUCAACCAAACUCUCGUCCACCUAUUAGGUCAUGUAUUUUUAAAUUGAAACACAAUAUUUUAACAGUAAGCUAUGACAUAAUCAAUGUGUUGCUAUUAGACUCUGAAUCAGUUUGUCAUCUUUUGAAGGAAUGUCACUAUCAGAUUCAAGGUAGUAGAGUUUGUCUUCUUCUGACCACGUGCAGGAAAAAAAGGAAUUUAAGGACAACGAAAAUGUAACGGAUCAUAUUAUUAAGAGCAAAGAAAUUUCGAAUGACUACAAAACGACAUUAACCAUUCGAGGCAACAAAACUCAAGGUGAAAAAAUCUUACAAACUCUUAGAUAUAAUCUUACAAACUUUCAGAUCUAGAAUUUCUUAAGCUUCAGAAGUCAUCUGAACCUUAAUUGCUUACACCUUUGAUUGUACGUGAUGUGUGAAGGUGAAAAAAACACAAGGCGGGAUUGAAUUGGUUGGGUUUUUUCUGAUUUAGAGAGAGAGAGAGAGAGAGAGAGAGAGAGAGAGAGGGGGGGAGGGAGGGAGGUCACAAAGCAUUUAUACUGGUUCCUCCUACAAUCUAAGAGUAGUCCAGUUCCCCUACACUUUCAAGGGACUUCCAAAUGUUCAAGCACACAAGCAAGUGACUUCCAAAUGCUCAGUCACAACUGAAAGAGACUUCUAAGAGUUUACAAAUAAACAAAGUUGUUCUCACACUUGAUAUACAAUCAGAGGUGUAAACAAUUAAAUACAUAUAAGACUUUAUGAAAUUAUAAUUUCUAACAUAUGAACUUAGUAAGAAAUUCUUAAGUGUUCUAUGUGCUUUUGAAUUUAACAGAGUAAGGGCACAAUUUAAAAUAGCAGAGUCAUGUUAUUAUUCUUCAAGUCUUCAACUCCUUAUAUAGGCAAGGAUUUGAGAGACGAUGCCAGCGCAUUGAGAGUCGUUGAGAAGUUUCAAAUCAAGGACGUUAGGUCUUUGCCUGAUAAGGAUAAUGUCGUGGAUUAUUCAUUUGAAAUUCCUUUUGCUGCAACUAGAAUUAUCUGUUCGUUCUCUUUGUACUUGAAGUUCUUUGUUUUUUUACACGUGGUCAGAGGAAGACAAACUGUACUUUCAGAGUCUUGAUAAAGACUGCUACAUAAGAGGACAAAUUUGACGAGGAUUCUAGGUCCCUAAGGGUCUUCUAUUCUUCAGAGUUUGGAGGUUUUCAGAGUCUGAUGUAGAUCUUUAACUUCUGAGUGUUUUCCUUUCUAUUGAUCCAAGGUGUUGACUUCUGGUUGACAUUUCUUUAGAUCUUCUACCAUAGUCUUUUGGCUUCUCUUUGUGCUUCUGAUGCUCUUAUACAUGUUCAGACCUUGUUAAAUUUUAAUAUAUGGUCCUGCACACUUGAACAUAUAUUAACAUAUCCAGUUGUUUUUCAAUACUUUGUUAUCAUCAAUACUUCAAAGGAUUUGUGUUUGAUUUUAAUAUGUUGCUUAAUUAUAUGUUUCAGACUCUGAAAAUGACUAUGUUCUGUUUUUACAAACACUUAAAAAUAGAUUUGAAAAAAGCAAUAUAAUUCAACCCCUUUUCUUAUGUUUUUCUCACUUUUAAAUUUAGAGUUUUUCUAUUUACACCCCAUGUUUUUCUGGUUACACCUAAAUUUUCUUAAUUUUUUUUAUAAUACCAAAAUUGCCCUUUAUAUAAAUUUUCUUAAAACCCUAAUUUUAUUCAUUGUCAGUGAGUUUCACCCUCUUUUACCCCACAAAGCGAUUGAUCAAACAAUUUGAUGUUCAAUAUCAAUCUCCAUGAAAAUUAAAGAGUGAAUCAAAAUAUUUUUCAUCCAUACUCAAUUGGAUAUAAGUAAGUGAAUUUCUUCUUCUAUUUGCUAGUUUCAAUUCUUUUCCUUCAACUGCAAUGAUGCACUGUACGAUUACGGUUUUAAUUUACAUUGGCAAGGUUAACUUAAAUUCAGUUUAAGUAGGUUCAUGUAAACUAAGUUUACAUGAACCUACUUAAACUGAGUUUACAUAAACCUACUUAAAUUGAGUUAACAUGAACUUACUUAAACUGAGUUUACAUGAACCUACUUAAACUGAGUUUACAUGAACCUACUUAAACUGAGUUUAGAAAAUCGCAGAACUCGCAGAACAAGGAAAACACAAAAUCAGAACUGAGAACCCAUAACAAGAAAAACACAAUCGAUUGAAGAACAACACUUGCUAACCUGAUUUGCUUCGAAUUUUCUUUGAAAUCAUGAAUGGACGUGAGAAAGUAUGGUUUUGAAAAUCUUCGCAGAACACAAUGAAUCGAUUGGAGAAUUAUGGUUUUGGAAGAAAGGUUUUGGGGUGUAACCAAAAAAGAAGGAAUAGGCUUUUUGAAAAUCAAAUUUUAUGAAAGGGUAAUCUUGUCAUUUUAGGGUGCAACCAUGAUUAACUAGGGUGCAAGUAGAAAAACUCUUAAAUUUAUCCUUUGGAUAAAUAAAACGUUAAUUUAUUCUAGUUUUUCAAUGUGAACAUCAAUUACUUAAAGAAUGAACAUUAAUUGUUUUAUUUUUGGUCAAGAAAAAGAACUUUAAUUUAUUCUUGCAUUUCAAUGUGAACAUCAAUUACUUAACAAUAGAUUAUAUGUCCAAUUGACCAAUUAAAUCGCCAUCACGUUAUAUUUUCAGAGAAAUUAAGUUGGAAAGAUACGACAUGAUUUGAUCAUAAUUGUUAAUGUCACUGACUUCUAGAACUGUUAAUGUCACUAAUAUUUUUAAAACUGAGGGAGUUGCGUACAAAAGCGUGAGAGGGUAAUUCUUUAUGAUUCAUUUCCAGUCCAUUCAAAAUAGGAUUCUAAACACAAGCUUAGAAUUUGACUCAUCUGAUUUUUCACUUUUCAAUACAAAGCACUAAACUACAGCUUUUCAUCCUUUUUCUAGAUUCAGAUUUCGAAACCAGGUAAUCUCUCGUUCUCUUGUAUUCUUAUGAUAAUUAGAAGAUUCAACUUGCAACCUGUAUUUACUAUUUAGAAUCAAAAUUUUGCUUGCUCAUUUCCAACACACAUACUGCAAUCAAAAUUUCUUUAUGCAAUUCUAAAUUAGGUUACUUAAAUAGUUUUUAUUCUUGUUCGAAUCUGCAAAAUAGUACAAAUCCUGUUCUUUUUAUGUGUCGGUUUAAAAAACUUUUUUAUCCCCUAAGUUAAUAUUCCAUCCAGUCUUAAAUGUUAGGAAAAAAAAAAAAACCACACAUAUUAAGAAAGUGGACUAACAAUAUUGAAGUCAUCAUAAAACAUUAUAACUUUCCAAUUUUGCCUUUAUCUUCGGAUUUUAUAUUUAAGUCAUGAACGUGACUUUUGAACUCAACAUGGGAAUGUGAAACAGAUUGGAAAUAAAUAAAUGAGGGUAAAAUUGAAAUAGUGACAUUUAAUAGGAUGAUUUAAUUAAACUUUUCAUUACAUUUGAGUCCACCAAUUUUUUUAUUUUGUUUCUUACAUUCGAGAUCGGAGGGAGUAGUUGUGUCCGGUUCGGUCUGAUAUUUGGAUCGGUUGUGCAGUUGAAUCGGUCAGAUCCGGCGUGACUCGCUAAAACUCGGAAUAAAUUGGUGGCUUGGCCGGUUUAGCGAACCGGACCAGGUCAAUACACAACUUGAUUUCAAUUGAUAAAAAAAACCAGAAAGUGAGAAAAGUGAGAAAGAUUAUCGUACAGAAGAGAAGAUCUCACGAUGGAAGGGAGGAAGAUGUGAGAAGGAAAGAACAAGGAUUGAAGAUCAAAUAUGCUAUGUGUUUUUUUAUUUGAGAUCUACUUUUUAGAUGAAUGCUGCAGUACAAGUCACUAAAGUGUAGUACAAUACAUAUCUGUAGUACAAUAGACUUGUGUAUAUAUUACUAAUUAUACUCUCAUUCACAAAUCAAUAGAAAAUCCAUUCAUUUCUCUUAUUUCAUAUUAGGUUUCAAUUUGCUAACUGCAUUGACUGAGUGAUUUUUAUUCCAUUAAUUAAAAAUAGGAGACCAUUUAAAAAAUUGAUCACUUACGUGACCCCAAGAUUAGUUUUACUCAUGCUUUUGUUAACUUCAUUUGCCAAAGGAUGGAAGCCCUUGCUGUUACAAUCUUGGAAAAGUUGAGCUCUGCAGCUUACAAAGAGCUCGGAAUCAUUUGGAAUUUCAAAGAGGAUAUGGAACGAAUGAAGAACACAGUCUCCAUGAUAAAAGCCGUGCUUCUCGAUGCAGAGUCCAAGGCCAAUAAUCAUCAAGUUAGUAAUUGGUUGGAGAAGCUGAAAGAUGUACUUUAUGAUGCAGAUGAUUUACUAGAUGAUUUUUCCAUUGAAGCUUUGAGAAGAAAAGUAAUGGCUGGAAACAACAGAGUAAGACGUACAAAAGCUUUCUUCUCAAAAUCAAACAAAAUUGCCCAUGGCCUUAAAUUGGGCCGUCGAAUGAAAGCAAUCCAAAAGAGGCUAGAUGACAUUGCUAACAAUAAGCAUGCACUGCAACUGAAUGACCGCCCUAUGGAGAAUCCAAUUGUAUAUAGGGAACAGAGACAAACUUACUCUUUCGUAAGUACAGAUGAAGUUAUUGGAAGAAAUGAGGAAAAGAAAUGUAUUAAAAGUUAUCUACUAGAUGACAAUGCAACAAAUAAUGUUUCUAUAGUUCCCAUAGUUGGCAUUGGAGGAUUAGGUAAGACUGCACUUGCUCAACUAGUCUACAAUGAUAAUGAUGUUCAAAAGCAUUUUGAGCUAAAAAUGUGGGUGUAUGUCUCGGAUGAAUUUGAUUUGAAGAAAAUAUCUCGGGAUAUCAUUGGGGAUGAAAAGAAUAGUCAAAUGGAGCAAGUACAACAACAACUUAGAAACAAAAUUGAAGGGAAAAAGUUUUUGCUUGUGUUAGAUGACGUGUGGAAUGAGGAUCAUGAGUUGUGGCUUAAAUUGAAGAGCAUGUUCAUGGAAGGUGGAAAAGGAAGUAUGAUAAUUGUUACAACGCGUAGUCAGACUGUGGCAAAAAUAACAGGCACACAUCCACCCCUUUUCCUAAAAGGUUUGGAUUCACAAAAAUUCCAGGAGCUAUUCUCUCGAGUGGCUUUCGGCGAGUUGAAAGAACAAAAUGAUUUGGAGUUGUUAGCUAUAGGAAUGGACAUUGUUAAGAAAUGUGCUGGCAUUCCCCUUGCCAUAAGAACUAUUGGCAGCCUUUUGUUUUCUCGAAAUUUGGGCCGGAGUGACUGGCUUUAUUUCAAGGAUGCCGAGUUUUCAAAGAUAGAUCAACACAAGGAUAAAAUCUUUGCAAUCCUUAAACUGAGUUAUGAUCAUCUUCCAUCGUUUCUAAAAAAGUGCUUUGCCUAUUGUUCACUGUUUCCAAAAGGUUUUAUGUUUGAAAAGAAGACACUCAUUCAGUUAUGGGUAGCUGAGGGGUUCGUUCAACAAUCAAAUGAUAUUAGAUGUGUAGAAGAUAUUGGUCAUGAGUACUUCAUGAGUUUGCUGUCAAUGUCUUUCUUUCAAGAUGUUACUAUAGACGAUUGUGAUGGAAUAAGCACCUGUAAAAUGCAUGACAUUAUGUAUGAUCUAGCGCAACUAGUGACCGAGAAUGAAUAUGUCGUGGUUGAAGGAGAAGAACUAAACAUAGGAAACAGAACACGUUAUUUGUCAUCUCGUAGGGGUAUACAACUAUCACUAACAUCAUCAUCUUCCUACAAGUUAAGGACAUUUCAUGUGGUCGGUCCACAAUCAAAUGCAAGCAAUCGUUUGCUUCAGUCAGAUGAUUUUUCCUUCUCAGGCUUAAAGUUCUUGCGUGUGUUGACACUUUGUGGGUUGAAUAUUGAAGAAAUCCCAAAUAGUAUUGAAGAAAUGAAGCAUUUAAGAUAUAUUGAUCUAUCACGGAACAAUGUACUUAAAAAUCUUCCUCCGACCAUUACUAGCCUACUGAACUUGCAAACUCUAAAACUUUCUGAUUGUUCUAAGCUUGAAAUAUUGCCAGAAAAUCUCAAUAGAAGUCUCAGGCAUCUUGAGUUAAAUGGUUGCGAGAGUUUGACAUGUAUGCCACGUGGGCUAGGACAGUUGACUGAUCUUCAAACACUAACACUUUUUGUACUGAACUCUGGAAGUACAAGUGUAAAUGAGUUGGGUGAGCUAAACAACCUGAGAGGGAGAUUAGAAUUAAAAGGGUUGAAGUUCCUGCGAAAUAAUGCUGCAGAGAUUGAAUCUGCAAAAGUACUUGUUGAGAAGCGACACCUUCAACAAUUGGAAUUGCGAUGGAAUCAUGUCGACGAGGAUCCUUUUGAGGAUGAUCCUUUUGGAGUUUGGUAUGUUAAACUAUCGCAAUUACCAUACAACAAUUCUGUGGAAGAUGAGAUCAUUUUACAAGGCCUGCAGCCACACCACCAUUCACUUCGAAAACUAGUUAUAGAUGGGUUUUGCGGCAAAAAGUUACCAGACUGGAUAUGUAAUCUCUCAUCGCUCUUGACUCUUGAGUUCCACAAUUGCAGUAGUUUGACAUCACCGCCUCCUGAACAAAUGUGUAACCUUGUAUCUUUGCGGACACUUCGCAUUUCAAAUUGCCCAUUAUUAAAAUUGAGUAAUAUAUCUGGCAUCCGAGCAAUCAAGAUCAUCAGGGACGGAACCAGGUAUUGUUGUUUGCACCUGCACACCAUGGGUUUUUGCUGUUUGCACCUGCACACCAUGGGUUUUUGCUAUUUGCACAAAUAAUAUUACUUUUAUGUUAUUUGCACAUGAUUUUUGUUUUGCACCUCCUCACCAAAGAGGCCAAGACUAAAUCACACUCACGCUCUCAUAUUGACUGGUGACAUUUGGCUUUUAAAGUUCAAUCCUAUUAAUUUUCUCAUAAAAGGACUUUUAGUGCCAUAACAAAUCAUAUGCAUUUGUUAUUCACUUUGGAAAACAAAUAUUAAUCUAUCCGUCAUAAAAUAACUGAGUUAUUUAUAAAAAAAAAAUUGUCCUAAAGACACUUAAAUUAAUAUUAAUUUUAUCACUUUUUAUUCAAUAUAUUAUACUAAAAAAAGAUAUGACAUACAUCCACUGAUGUUUUCUACGUCAAUUGAUGAAUAUGACAACACAUUUGUUUUCAACCAUAAAAAAUGAUGUGACAACAUAUCAUUAAAUGCAUGUAUAAAAUCACGUUACAUAUAUGCAUGUAUUUAUGUAUGUAUAAAUUUAAUAUUAAUAAUAAUACUAAUUAUAAAGUUAAAAUUUUGCAACCGUAAUGCAGGGUUCGGGAUACGCCAAUGAAAUUCAUUCCUGGGAGUCCAUCAUUACUCAAGUAUUUUUCUUGAGUCAAAAUCUUUCAUCAAUCAUGGAGGUAUUUCUGAAUCCACUCUCUUAUAUCCAUCAAUUUUUUAUGACAUUUUUUAUGGUACAUUUUGCUAUUAUUGAGUUAACUUUCUCUUGACCUUUAUGCCUAACUUUUGUUUUGAUAUUCAAUUUUUCAUCACUUGGAUCAUUUUGGUUUUGAUAUUUGGCUAGACGAUACAUACAUCUGUUUAGAUAAAUGGAUUCCUUGAUUUUAUUUAGGCUUUUAUGUGUUUAGUUCUUGUAAAUAGGAGUUAUUUAAAAAAUGGUCAUUGUAUUAUUUGAUAAUGACUUAAAAAUGCCCCUGUAAUUAGUGUAAUAGAAGUGACUUAAAAACGUUUAUUUACAGGGAGCUUCUACGGUACACCUCACAAAUUGAGGUGUACCGAUACUCUGUUUCAUAAAUUUAUAAAUUAAUGAUCAUUUUAUGAGAUAAGUUGUUAUUUGUCAUUAUUUAUAUUUUAGAAAACACCAUCUCAGGAGAAAAAAAACAUCAUUUCAUUGUUUAUAUGAAUUAUAUUAAAUUUUUAACAUUUUCUCAUAAAAAAUAAUCAAUAUUCUUCAUUAUGAGCAAUAAAAAUUCAAAAAAAGUAAAUUUUAUUUCAUCGACGCUUUUGGUAAAUAAGAUUUAAUUAUUAUAAUUGUCAAUGAUAGAAAAUAAUUAUUUUUUCUUCAAAAAACAAUCAAUUUAAUUAUUAAUUUAAUGUUUGGUGUACCGGUACACUCAAAAUGUUGGGUGUACCAUAGAAUUUGCCUUAUUUACAAGGUAAUAUUCUUGGUGGCCAUUUAAUGACUGCCACGUCACUGUAACUACAAACGUGAAAUUACAAAAAUGCCCUUGUAAUUAGUGAUCUGGCGGUGAUUAAGUGGGGGAGAGGGACGAAAUUUUAAGUGAUUAAAUUUUGUGUAUCUUAUUAUUAUAAGCAAUAUUCUUUAUUAUUAUAAUUAAGCAAUAUUUAGUGACCCCUUGUAAAUAACGUUACUUCGGUGACAUAGAAAAUGUGUAUCUUAUUAUUCUAAGCAAUAUUCUUUAGGUUAAACUUCACUUUUCGCCCUAUAAGUUUUAAAAUGUUGCGAUUUUGGCCCCCUAUUAAAAAAAGUAGCAAAAGUGACCCCAUAUGUUUAGGGAAAUAUGCUCUUUUGACCUCUUAACAUAAGGGAAAUAUGCUUUUUGACCCCUUAUCUUUACAAAAAGUUGCGAUUAUUGCCCCUUUUUUGGGACACGUGGCGUCUUCUCAGCAAUUUUAGGAUGAAAGGGGCCAAAAUUGCCAUUUUUUUUAAUAGGGGGCCAAAAUCACUAUUUUAAAACAUAGAGGGCGAAAAGUGCACUUUAGCCUAUUCUUUAUUAUUGCUUUCUCUUUUUUGAUGAUUAAAUGGUGGCCAAUAACUACUGCAGGAACAAGGCAGUUGCUAAACUGUUCCAAGGAGCAAAAUGGUGGUCAAUAAAUUGGUAACUCUUUCACAUCAUCCAUGACUUUGGUAAUCUCACCAAACGUACUUUGGGUAACACUAUCCAUGACUUCACUGUUUUCUGAAAAUGUGUCAAUUGUUCCUUGGAAGAUCAUCAAUCAUUGGAUGAACUCUAUCUCUCUCACUAAGAUUAUGCAUUCUAGAGUACCUCAUAUUAGGUGCAUGGGAUUUGUUAACUUCUUGUAUCAGUGAAGACCUCUUCUGUAAUAGGAAUAUUA